rnacentral:rRNA from 1 species
AUGGUGCUAGAAGGAGAUGCAGGUAAGGUGACUGAUCAUAAUGAUAUUACGAAAGUUGCUGUUGAUUACUACAAAAAACUAUUUGGUUUUCAAGAUAAAAUUAACAUUAACCUUCGAGAUGACUUUUGGGAAGUUGGAGAGAAAGUUACUGAUGCUCAUAACAACAUCCUGGAUGCCCCCUUCUCUGAAAAAGAGAUUGAAGAGGUUGUCUUCGGCUCUUAUGCAGAAGGAGCCCCUGGGCCUGAUGGCUUUCCCUUUUUAUUUUAUCAACAAUUUUGGGACCUUAUAAAAGGUGAUUUAUUUGCUUUAUUUCGUGAUUGGGAGAAAGAUGAGCUAGAUCUAUAUAGGCUCAACUUCUCUUUGUUAACUCUAGUUCCCAAAGAGGCUGAUGCUAGUAAGAUAGAUAAAUUCAGACCCCUUGCCAUGAUUAAUUGUAGCUUCAAAAUCUUUGCCAAAUGUGCCACUAUUAAGUUUGGCCCCAUUUGCAAAGAUUUAAUUUCCUUGAACCAGACAGCCUUCAUUAAAGGCAGAUAUAUUGCUGAGAGUAUUAUCACAGCUCAUGAAAUUAUUUAUUCUGUGUACUCUAGUAAACAAUCUGGUUUUGUUUUUAAACUAGACUAUGAGAAAGCCUAUGACAUGAUUAACAGAGAUUUCCUGAUUGACAUGAUGCACAAGAGAGGUUAG